ensembl:lncRNA
AUUCAUUAUUUAAUUUUGCUUUAGAAAGUCAGUGUAAGACAGAUGCUUCUUAAAGACAGAUGUACAUUAAUGAUGAUGAACAGUUUGUCCUACUACAUGUUUGUUCUGCUACACAUAGCUGUAUGUUUUCUGUCUUUAUUUAUCUCUUUAAACUACAGAAUAAAGGAUGUCGAAAGCAGAGUUCUGGCACAUGUGGACAGACAUUUGCUUUAAUAACAGAAAUCUGGUCAUGGACAGUAAAUAAACACAUCUCUUUGUGUGAGCUGGUGUGGCUGAGUGGUCAGAGUGGUCAGAGUUCAUGGCAUAAGACCUCAACCCAAUGCAGGAGACAUGGGUUCAAAUCCCCACUCUGCUGCAAAUGGAGAAUCCUGUUUUUUCCCCAUUUUGCAGCCAAAAAAAAAAAAAAAAAAAUUCAAAAAGCUUUCUCUUUUUUUUGGUUUCUCUUCCUUUCUCAGGUCCGCCUCUCUUAUCUCCCCCUCUCUAUGGCCUUCCUCUCUCAUCCCCACCUCAGCCUUCAUCUCUUGGCCAUCUUACCGCCCCAGUGUGUGCAUCUACAGCAAGUGAACCGGGCUGAACCAGCGCUGCUUAAAACAAGAGAACAUCAAGCAGGAGUGACACUGUUUAAAUAG